UACGGGGGGGGGCAAGCGUUGUUCGGAAUUACUGGGCGUAAAGGGCUGGUAGGCGGCCAACUAAGUCGGAUGUGAAAUCCCCAGGCUUAACCUGGGAACUGCAUCCGAUACUGGUCGGCUUGAAUCCGGGAGAGGGAUGCAGAAUUCCAGGUGUAGCGGUGAAAUGCGUAGAUAUCUGGAGGAAUACCGGUGGCGAAGGCGACUUCCUGGCCUGUUCUUGACGCUGAGGCGCGAAAGCUAGGGUAGCAAACGGGG
rnacentral:rRNA from 1 species